rnacentral:lncRNA from 1 species
UGCACCUUCAGGUUGCAUCUUCCUCCAACCCCCAAUCAACGCCAGAGGAUGCUAGCCCAAGCUUAUAGUAGCUUAGAAAAGGUGCCAAGUUCUCUUCGUCAACAUUCUCCACUUGAUGCCAGAACCUUGUUAUGUAGUGGACUCUUUGUGCCUCACAGCCUGCCGUCGGCGUCUCCCUCCAGGGAGAACCCACGGCUUUUGAGCUCCUUGAGCUCCCGCCGCAACUUAGGCAAUGGUUUCGCCGUNGACCUUUGCCUCAAGAACUCGUGGCUGUGCAGGACCUCGCAAGCGCUAUUUGCAAGGCACAUUCCAGGGCCCAAAUGAUUCAGAGGCUCGUUCAUCAGCUGAGGAGGUGUCCUGUUCAUCCAAGGCUUCUGCCCACUCGUGUGGGAAGAUUUCUUCUGCCUCCAUUAGCGAUUCUGAAGAAGAGAUCCCGCAUGCUCCUACCACCCGCCUCUUUGACCUGGAGAGGUUUUCUAAGUUCAUACCCAAAAUCACGGCUUGCCUGGACCUUCCGGCUCCUCCUCCUUCCUCCGAAGCUGCUUCUUCUCAGGACGCGGCCCUUCUGCUUCCACCUCCAAGGCAAACUGAUAACUUACCUAUCCCUGAGUCCUUUCAGGAAAUGAUCCUAGCAGAAUGGGAGAAUCCCUCUAAGACCUCUAGGCUUCCUCUGCUCCCACGUAAGUGGUUCAGUGCCAGCCCCAAGGCUGGCAUGUGGGCAAUCCUGGUUUUGGACGCCCCGGUGGUGGGCAUCUAAAUCCGUGGCUCCUUCGGAUGGUGAUUGUCCACUGAAGGACCACACAAACAGAAAGAUUGAGGCUGCAUUCCAUAGAGAUUUCAAAGCGGGUUCUCUGUCCAUGUGGACCUCUGCCAACGUUUUCCUUUUUGCCCAUGCAGGGGUCAAGUGGGCCAAUUGACUCCUGUCUGCCAGGGAACUUCCUUCUGGGUCAGGCCCUCUCCUCAAAAAUAUUAGAAAAGUCCUUGCACUCAUAGCUGAUUUGGCUCUGGACUUGAUGCUACUGUUGGCUAGAGCAGCAGGCCAAUCAGUGGUGGCCAGAAGGGCUCUCUGGCUAAAGUUUUGGUUGGUGUACCUACAAGCAAGAAACAAUGUAGCGUCCAAGCCAUUCAAGGGAGACAAGCUUUUUGGUGAUCAUGCCUUAGACCCGGUAUUGGUGGAGAUAAGAAACAGGAAAAAAGUGAUGCCUUCUUCCACCUCCACUCAGAGAAAUAGGGACAACAAUCCUCUAGAUGAAGAUCCUUUCAUUCCUUUCACUCCUUGUCCAGAAAUGCUUCCUUUCUCCCCAGAGAUUUCUACUGCUCCUCAGCCCAGUCUGGUUCCAGCUGGUCCCAUUUCCACAGACCUCCUCCCAGAUCUACAGGACGACAACAACAAUGCAAUCCCAGAUCAACCAAACAAGCCUAAUCCAACUAUCAAAGUGGAGGGUAGGUUGUUGGGGUUUGUUGAACAAUGGCGUGUCUCAGUUUCUGACUCGUAGGUGAUCAGGGUAGUAUUCUCUGGUUACCUUCUCAAGUUUGUCUCCCUUCCUCCUGACCAUUUCCUCCCCUCUCCAGCAACCUAGGGCUAAGCGGGAAAUUGUCCUGGCAAUCAUCUCUCACCUGAUGGAUAUUGGAGCCUUAGAACCAGUCCCUCUGGACCAGCGGGACUUGGGAGUGUAUUCAAUCUUCUUUGUGGUACCAAAAAGGUCAGGGGACUGGCAGGCCAUCUUGGAUUUGAAAUACAUGAAUAGCUUCCUAUU